UUUGUAUAAUGGGUCAGCGACUUAUAUUCAGUGGCAAGGUUAACCAUCUAGGGGAGCCGUAGGGAAACCGAGUCUUAACUGGGCGUUCAGUCUCUGGAUAUAGACCCGAAACCAGGUGAUCUAGCCAUGGGCAGGUUGAAGGUUGAGUAACAUCAACUGGAGGACCGAACCGACUAAUGUUGAAAAAUUAGCGGAUGACUUGUGGCUAGGGGUGAAAGGCCAAUCAAACCUGGAGAUAGCUGGUUCUCCCCGAAAGCUAUUUAGGUAGCGCCUCGGACGAAUACUACUGGGGGUAGAGCACUGUUAAGGCUAGGGGGUCAUCCCGACUUACCAACCCUUUGCAAACUCCGAAUACCAGUAAGUACUAUCCGGGAGACACACGGCGGGUGCUAACGUCCGUCGUGGAGAGGGAAACAACCCAGACCGCCAGCUAAGGUCCCAAAUUACUACUAAGUGGGAAACGAUGUGGGAAGGCUCAGACAGCCAGGAUGUUGGCUUAGAAGCAGCCAUCAUUUAAAGAAAGCGUAAUAGCUCACUGGUCGAGUCGGCCUGCGCGGAAGAUGUAACGGGGCUAAGUAGUAAACCGAAGCUGCGGCAAUAUACUUUUGUAUAUUGGGUAGGGGAGCGUUCUGUAAGCGGUUGAAGGUGUGUGGUAACGCAUGCUGGACGUAUCAGAAGUGCGAAUGCUGACAUGAGUAACGAUAAAGGGGGUGAAAAACCUCCUCGCCGGAAGACCAAGGGUUCCUGUCCAACGUUAAUCGGGGCAGGGUAAGUCGACCCCUAAGGCGAGGCCGAAAGGCGUAGUCGAUGGGAAACGGGUUAAUAUUCCCGUACUUCUUACAAUUGCGAUGGGGGGACGGAGAA
rnacentral:rRNA from 1 species